rnacentral:rRNA from 1 species
UACGUAGGGUGCAAGCGUUGUCCGGAAUUAUUGGGCGUAAAGAGCUCGUAGGCGGUCUGUCACGUCGGCUGUGAAAACCCGAGGCUCAACCUCGGGCCUGCAGUCGAUACGGGCAAACUAGAGUACUGCAGGGAGACUGGAAUUCCUGGUGUAGCGGUGAAAUGCGCAGAUAUCAGGAGGAACACCGGUGGCGAAGGCGGGUC